rnacentral:rRNA from 1 species
UACAGAGGGUGCGAGCGUUAAUCGGAAUUACUGGGCGUAAAGCGUGCGCAGGCGGUCUGCUAAGACAGGUGUGAAAUCCCCGGGCUUAACUCGGAAAGGUCAACUGAUACUGCGGGGCUAGAGUGCGGAAGGGGCAACUGGAAUUCUUGGUGUAGCGGUGAAAUGCGUAGAUAUCAAGAGGAACACCUGCGGCGAAGGCGGGUUGCUGGGCCGACACUGACGCUGAGGCGCGAAAGCUAGGGGAGCGAACGGG